rnacentral:rRNA from 1 species
AGCAGCCGCGGUAAUUCCAGCUCCAAUAGCGUAUAUUAAAGUUGUUGCAGUUAAAAAGCUCGUAGUUGAAUUUCGGGAUUAGUACGCUGGUCGUGCCUUUGGUAUGUACUGGUGUUACUGGUUCCUACCUUCUGAAGAACCGUCAUGUCAUUAAUUUGGUGUGGCGGGGAAUCAGGACUGUUACUUUGAAAAAAUUAGAGUGUUUAAAGCAGGCUCGCGCUUGAAUACAUUAGCAUGGAAUAAUGAAAUAGGACGUUUGACCCUAUUUUGUUGGUUUCUAGGAUCGACGUAAUGAUUAAUAGGGACAGUUGGGGGCAUUAGUAUUCAAUUGUCAGAGGUGAAAUUCUUGGAUUUAUUGAAGACUAACUACUGCGAAAGCAUUUGCCAAGGAUGUUUUCAUUAAUCAAGAAGGAAAGUUAGGGGAUCGAAGACGAUCAGAUACCGUCGUAGUCUUAACCAUAAACUAUGCCGACUAGGGAUCGGAUGGAUUGUUAUUUAAUGAACUCAUUCGGCGCCUUAC